UACGUAGGGGGCAAGCGUUGUCCGGAAUCACUGGGCGUAAAGCGCGCGCAGGCGGUCAUCUACGUCUGGGGUGAAAGCCCGGAGCUCAACUCCGGGAUUGCCUUGGAUACGGGAUGACUUGAGGAUCGGAGAGGCAAGGGGAAUUCCACGUGUAGCGGUGAAAUGCGUAGAGAUGUGGAGGAACACCUGCGGUGUAGACGGCUUACUGGACCAUAACUGACGCUGAGGCACGAAAGCGUGGGUAGCAAACAGG
rnacentral:rRNA from 1 species